ACCUAAAAUAACACACAAUACCACACCUGAACUCUUAAAAAUCGAGAUGCCAGACGUCUGUCUCCAAGCUCUCUCUCUUUCUCUCAUGUAGAGAUCGCCAAGCCUGAUGGCCCUUGUGGGAUUUGACCCUUUCUCUCAUCUCAUGGUUAUUGUUUUUUUUAAUUUAUUUCUAGGAAUGUUGAAUAGUUGUUGUAAAACUGGGGGGAAAAAAUGACUGUUUUUGCAGCUAGCUUUGAUAUCUGAUUCGUUGGACCACUUUCUUCUUCAUCUGAUGGCUAGACUGUUGAUGGAUUUGGUGGGUUUUUAAUGUUUUCUUUGAUGCUCUUGAGGGCUUCUUGUUUGAUUUGCGUGUCAUGGUAUUGUGCUAAGGAAACAAUAGAAAUUUCAAUUUUUUUUUAUCAAUUGGGUUAUUGGUGAUUGAUUCUUGGUUUUCAAUCUGGUUCUAUCAGAAUUGAAGUUGUGCUGAUACUUGAACGUUCAUAAGUGUGUCAAGUUUUGAGCUCUAUAACAAUAAGAAGCCUCACAAUCUUUCGGGGCUCAUCACUCAGGGUCACGAGUUAUGAUUGAGUGUUGUUUUGAGAAUUCGUGAUCUAGGUGGAAUACAAAAAUAUCAUAGAUGAAUGCCGUGGAGAGACUAGGAAGGUAUAUCACUCGAGGGGUGUACACAGUCUCUGGACCAUUUCACCCUUUUGGUGGAGCUGUGGAUAUAAUUGUAGUGGAACAGCCAGAUGGGAGCUUCAAGUCAUCUCCUUGGUAUGUCCGGUUUGGUAAAUUUCAAGGGGUUUUAAAGGCGCGAGAGAAAGUAGUGAAUGUUAGUGUGAAUGAAGUUGAAGCAGAUUUUCACAUGUAUCUUGAUAGGAGAGGGGAAGCUUUUUUUCUCAGAGAGGUAGAAGGGGAUGAAGAGGAAUCUGUUUUAUAUCCUUUGUCCUCCAGUGAUGAGACGGAUGAGCAAUCUCAAAAAAAUAGGAGGCCAGCGAAGACAAAAAGUUGCAAUUAUGAUGCCUAUCAGUUGAAUUCAGGCGACCAGCUUGAUGGAACCAAUGGGAGUAUUGUGGCUAGGACUAAUUCCCGCCGUUCAAGGAUAUUAGGGCUUGUUUUUGGACGUGGCUCAUUCAAGGAGGAUAGUUGCCGAGAGGGAGAUGAUGGUGCUGGCAAGGCAAGGACUUCACUGGAGCGUGCUGAGAUUGCAGCUGAUCUGUUGGAGGUGAGGUGGUCUACUAAUCUUGACCCCACUAAGCCUAGGAAAGAUAAUGAUUCAAGGUUUUCUGCUUCAGAUGCAUUGGAGGGUAAUGGAGAUAAUAUGCCCGCUAUUGACGACAAAAGCCAGAAGGAGUCAUCUUUGCACGAUGCCAUUGAAACCAAUGCUGACCGCUGUAUGUUGGCUGAGGAAACUGUUUCCUGCAAUGUAGAGACGGGAAACGACUUGCAAUCUGGCUUCAUGAGCCUCGAGUGUUCUGCUGAGGAAGCUAGUGUAGAAAUGUUAACUUUAGGUAGCAUGGAUCAAGUUGCUGAAACUUCCACAAUGGCUGAAAGUGUUUUGGGUGAAAAGUGUGGGGUGGUAUCUGGAUUAUCAAGAGAUAUUGAUGAACUUAGUUCCCAAAAUGCUGAUCCUGAUGUUAAAGCUAAGGGUGUCAUCUCUGUGGUCUCUGCUCCCGAGUCAAAAAUUUCUGGCGUCCCUGAAGCGUGUUCAGGCGAGAAUUUUGGUGACAAACAGCCUUGUGAUGAAAAAGAUGCUUCUUUACCAGAUCAUGCCACUUCCGAGGAGGAGAGUGAAUCCAGAGCUCAAUCCUUCAUUUAUUGUGAGACAUCAGAGAGCUCAACAAUGAGGCUGAACUGUUAUACUGAACAAACUCAUGAAACACUGUACCUUGCUAGUGGAGGACCCAGGGAAGCACACUUUUCCGCCAAAACUUUGCAUUUGACAGCUGAGCCACUACCUGAGGACAUGCUCAAUCAGCAAGCUGAGGACAUUGAGUUGAAGACAGAACACAUUGAUGCUAGCAGCAGUUUUUCUAAUCAAACAAAUCCAUCUUCUUGCAUGCAUAUCCAUGAUAAGGUGAACCUUGAAGUUCCAAUGAUAGUGUCAAAAUCCGAUGCUCAAAAGGUUGGUGCUGACCCUGUGCUUGGUUCGGCUGAAGAAUUAGAGUCAAUGAGCACUGUUACCAUUUUGAGUUUUAGCAACACAGGCCAAAAAACACAAGAUGUGAAAAAUAACGGCAAGGAAAUUAUCAGGAAUGAGCCCCAAUCUGCAGUGGAUUCAUUUGGGGGUUCAGAACACUUUUAUGGUAGUUGUGGUCCAACAAAAACAGCUAUUAUUCCUGCCCCAGAGAGUUCAGAGGAAGAGCAGUUCAUUUUCAGUGACCUUGAUGAACUCAAACCAAGCAGGACUCAGUGCGAGUCGAAUUUUCUUGGUGAAAAAGAUGAAGAAAAUGAUCCUUCAUUCUGUUUGGAAAGAAAUGAAGAAAUGGAUGGGUCUUUUGAUACAAGUGAUGUAUCUUGUUCAUCCCCGGACCAGUUUGUUCAAGAGAGUAAACUGGCUGAUCUUGAAACCUCGAGAGAAAAUUCAAAGAUAACAUCAAGUCCCAUUGGCAUUCCCAAAGUUCAUAGUGUUACUGAUGCUGAAGUCUCUAGGCUGGUUGAAUCGUUACCCAACAUGAGGUCUCGUUUUGACAACAUGGAUGCAAAUGAUCUCCAUUUUCCCUUAAGCCACUCGCUAGACUCCAUUUGCAAAUCCUUGGAGGAGACAUUAUGUAGAACAAAUGAGUCAGAGUGUGUAAAGUUAGAUACAGAAAAUGAAAUCCAAUCAGCAAAGGAGCAUUCUAAUAUUGAAGGUAUUCACAAUUCAGAAGAUCUUGAAAAUUCUGUUUCCAGCUCUACUUUUGGGGAUUCAUCGAAAGUGAUUGUUGCUUCUGGCGGAAGCUGGAGAAUUUGGCCUUUCUCUUUCAAAAGAUCAAGGUCUAGGAAGAUUUCACAGCAAGCUCUAAAUGAUACCAGAAGUUCUGUCUCUGAGAACAUGUCAGAUUGCAACCUUCACACAGAUAAAGAUUACGGUGUAAUUAAUCCUAAGGUCACCAAAAAAAUGGUAAGGGCCAAUACUCCAACAUCUGAACAACUGGCAUCCUUGAAUCUGAAGGAAGGGAGGAAUGUGGUGACCUUCACGUUUUCCACUGCAAUGCUGGGGAAGCAGCAGGUUGAUGCAAGAAUUUAUCUGUGGAAAUGGAACACUCACAUAGUGAUCUCCGAUGUUGAUGGGACGAUUACAAGAUCGGAUGUUCUAGGUCAGUUCAUGCCUAUGGUUGGGGUAGACUGGUCACAAAUGGGCGUUGCACAUUUGUUUUGUGCUAUUAAGGAAAACGGCUAUCAAUUACUUUUUCUAAGUGCACGUGCAAUUUCUCAAGCCUAUCAUACUAGACAAUUUCUAGUCAACCUCAAGCAGGAUGGGAAGGCUUUACCAGAUGGUCCUAUUGUUAUAUCUCCCGAUGGAGUUUUUCCUUCUCUAUUUCGCGAAGUCAUUAGAAGGGCUCCUCAUGAAUUCAAGAUCGCAUGUUUGGAGGAUAUCAGGGCUUUGUUUCCUUCUGAUCGCAAUCCUUUCUAUGCUGGUUUUGGAAAUAGAGACACUGAUGAGAUAAGCUACCUCAAGGUUGGAAUCCCGAAGGGAAAAAUCUUCAUCAUUAAUCCGAAGGGUGAAGUUGCUGUGAACCGCCGUGUUGACACAAAAUCAUAUACUUCACUUCAUGCUCUUGUGCAUGGCAUGUUUCCACCCAUGACAUCAUUUGAGCAGGAGGAUUUUAAUUCAUGGAAUUACUGGAGAUUGCCUCCUCCAGUUAUUGACAUAUGAUGGCGUCAGUUGGAGAUACUUUACCCGUCUUCUGACUAUUGAUAUGGGUCUUGGCCAUGUUUAUUAUGGAGUGUUCAGGUGGCCAAGACCGAUCCCAAAGGCGGCUCCCUGUAAUGCUUUUGUGCUGGGCUCGCCUAAUUAGUGUUGACCUGAAAGGGAUUUAUGGAGGAUCUACAGAGUUGAAAUGGGUGCUGUUAUACCUAUUAUCCUGUUUCAACUAGGGUAAAUGUAGAAUUUUGUAUAGUAGUAUUAAUGUAAUCCAAUCAACGUACAUGUUUACUGGAAUCCCAUGGGGAGGGUAGGCAAUGACUGGAAACUUUAAUGUAAAAUCUUCAAUUUUUCAAUGGAUAGCAUCAUUCAUCA